GCGGAUGUGGCGAAAUUGGUAGACGCGCCAGAUUUAGGCUCUGGUUCCUUACGGUGUGUGGGUUCGAGUCCCUCCAUCCGCA
rfam:Hymenobacter sp. PAMC 26554, complete genome.